rnacentral:rRNA from 1 species
GAUGAACGCUAGCUACAGGCUUAACACAUGCAAGUCGAGGGGUAACGAGAGGAAAGCUUGCUUUCCUUGUCGACGACCGGCGCACGGGUGAGUAACGCGUAUCCAACCUGCCCCCAACUAGGGAAUAACCUUGCGAAAGUAAGACUAAUACCCUAUAAUUUCCUCAGAUGCCAUCUGACGAGGAAUAAAGAUUUAUCGGUUGUGGAUGGGGAUGCGUCUGAUUAGCUUGUUGGCGGGGUAACGGCCCACCAAGGCAACGACCAGUAGGGGUUCUGAGAGGAAGGUCCCCCACAUUGGAACUGAGGCACGGUCCAAACUCCUACGGGAGGCAGCAGUGAGGAAUAUUGGUCAAUGGGCGGAAGCCUGAACCAGCCAAGUAGCGUGCAGGAUGACGGCCCUAUGGGUUGUAAACUGCUUUUAUACAGGAAUAAAGUUAGCCACGUGUGGUUAUUUGUAGGUACUGUAUGAAUAAGGACCGGCUAAUUCCGUGUCAGCCGCCGCGGUAA